GACGAACGCUGGCGGCGUGCUUAACACAUGCAAGUCGAACGGAAAGGCCCUGCUUUUGUGGGGUGCUCGAGUGGCGAACGGGUGAGUAACACGUGAGUAACCUGCCCUUGACUUUGGGAUAACUUCAGGAAACUGGGGCUAAUACCGGAUAGGAGCUCCUGCUGCAUGGUGGGGGUUGGAAAGUUUCGGCGGUUGGGGAUGGACUCGCGGCUUAUCAGCUUGUUGGUGGGGUAGUGGCUUACCAAGGCUUUGACGGGUAGCCGGCCUGAGAGGGUGACCGGGCACAUGAGGACUGAGAUACGGCGCAGAGUCCUACGGGAGGCAGCAGGGGGGAAUAUGGCACAGUGGGCCGAAGCCUGAUGCAGCAACGCCGCGGGCGGGAUGACGGCCUUCGGGUUGUAAACCGCUUUCGCCUGUGACGAAGCGUGAGUGACGGUAAUGGGUAAAGAAGCACCGGCUAACUACGUG
rnacentral:rRNA from 1 species